CGCGUAGGCGGGCCGGCCAGUCGGAGGUGAAAGCCCCCAGCUCAACUGGGGAAGUGCCCCCGAUACUGCCGGCCUUGAGGGAGGUAGGGGCGUGCGGAACUUCCGGUGGAGCGGUGAAAUGCGUAGAUAUCGGAAGGAACACCGGUGGCGAAGGCGGCACGCUGGGCCUCACCUGACGCUGAGGCGCGAAAGCCAGGGGAGCGAACG
rnacentral:rRNA from 1 species